UUAGCAGGACGGACGGCCGCCUUUCCGACACGUCGGAGGGGAGGAAAGUCCGAGCUCCAGCGGGCAGGGUGCUGGGUAACACCCAGGCGUGGCGACGCGAUGGAAAGUGCCACAGAAACUAAACCGCUGGUAUUGAGAUGGGGGACACCCCCAAACCCCCGCUAAAGGGGCGCAAGGGGGCCUCUAACCCAAUCCCAGCAAGGGUGAAAAGGUGCGGUAAGAGCGCACCGGCGGGCGGGUGACCGUCCGGCCGGGCAAACCCCACCCGGAGCAAGACCAUGUAGGAGGACAAUGAGCGCCCGGCUCGUCCUCGGGUUGGUCGCACGAGGCGUCGAGUAAUCGGCGUCCCAGAUGGAUGGCCGUCGGUCCCUCCCAGCAAUGGGAUGGAUGCACAGAACUCGGCUUACAGUCUUGCUGGCUAG
rnacentral:RNase_P_RNA from 1 species